rnacentral:rRNA from 1 species
AUUGAACGCUGGCGGCAGGCCUAACACAUGCAAGUCGAGCGGUAGAGAGAAGCUUGCUUCUCUUGAGAGCGGCGGACGGGUGAGUAAUGCCUAGGAAUCUGCCUGGUAGUGGGGGAUAACGUUUGGAAACGGACGCUAAUUCCGCAUACGUCCUACGGAAGAAAGCAGGGGACCUUCGGGCCUUGCGCUAUCAGAUGAGCCUAGGUCGGAUUAGCUAGUUGGUGGGGUAAUGGCUCACCAAGGCGACGAUCCGUAACUGGUCUGAGAGGAUGAUCAGUCACACUGGAACUGAGACACGGUCCAGACACCUACGGGAGGCAGCAGUGGGGAAUAUUGGACAAUGGGCGAAAGCCUGAUCCAGCCAUGCCGCGUGUGUGAAGAAGGUCUUCGGAUUGUAAAGCACUUUAAGUUGGGAGGAAGGGCAGUAAAUUAAUACUUUGCUGUUUUGACGUUACCGACAGAAUAAGCACCGGCUAACUCUGUGCCAGCAGCCGCCGUAA